rnacentral:lncRNA from 1 species
GUAGAAUAGAAUGAUGAACCUCUAGGUGCAGUUAUCGUGUGAUACAGUCCUACUAUCAUGGAUCCCUACAGGACGGAGGUCAUGGAUAACUCGUCAAACCCCUUCGUCUGUCAUAUGUCAAGAUUUAUUCGACUCGAGUUCGAUAGUGAAAAACUCUUUCUCCACUUUAUAUUACUGCCCUGGCCAAGGUCUUAGAACUCAGUCUAACAAAUCACAUAGGAUCACUCCUCUUCUAUCAAGGUCGAUAGAUUCCAUGUAAGUGCAUACCCUACUC